AUUAUCUUUAAUAGCUUGUUUUUUGAUGUAGUUGUGAAGCCCACAACAUGCAACUACGAUGCUGGUUUGGUCCUCGAUACGCAUACUGGUCCCUAAAUCUGCAUUUGUCAGCGUGUGAGAAUGUGAUGUUCAGAAGCAUUUGAAGUUGGGCGUCUUACUUUAGACAUCUCCUUGUUUAAUUUCUCAGUAGUUUCUAUUAUUGAAAUUGGAGACUUUUGUGCAACAACUGUCAGUUUUGGAGAGUGCAAAAUUAUCUUAGAAAUCAGUUGAGAAAAAGUUGAAUUGUUUGUAGAAAAUGUCAAAUUCUUUUCAUCA